rnacentral:rRNA from 1 species
GACGUAGGGCGCGAGCGUUGUCCGGAUUCAUUGGGCGUAAAGGGCGCGUAGGCGGCCUGUUAAGUCGAACGUGAAAUCCCCGGGCUCAACCCGGGAACUGCGUCCGAUACUGGCAGGCUUGAAUCCGGGGAGAGGGAUGCGGAAUUCCAGGUGUAGCGGUGAAAUUCGUAGAUAUUAGGAAGAACACCGGUGGCGAAGGCGGCCCACUGGAUCGGUACUGACGUGAGGUGCGAAAGCGUGGGGGAGCAAACAGG